CAAUAGCGUAUAUUAAAGUUGUUGCAGUUAAAAAGCUCGUAGUUGAAUUUCUGGGCGGCCCGCCGGUCUUCCAUGUGUUGUACUGGGCGGCGCCGGCCAUCCUUGUGGAGAGGGCUCGCAUUUGGUUGCGUGUCAGAUCUGCAUCAUUUACUGUGAAAAAAUUAGAGUGUUUAAAGCAGGCUGUCGCUUGAAUACAUUAGCAUGGAAUAAUAAGAUAGGACUUCGGUCUAUUUUGUUGGUUGCGAACCGAGGUAAUGAUUAAUAGGGAUAGUUGGGGGUAUUCAUAUUUAAUUGUCAGAGGUGAAAUUCUUGGAUUUAUGAAAGAUGAACAACUGCGAAAGCAUUUACCAAGGAUGUUUUCAUUAA
rnacentral:rRNA from 1 species